GUUCUAGCGCGUGUUCCACGUGCUCACAGUGAUGCACACGUCCUGCAGGCCGGUCGUAGCCCGUGUGCAGGCGACGGUUGAUUCACGGGGCACUUUUCUGCCACAGCGGAGCAGAUGCUGCUGUGUGCUCCAUCUGCUCCUCCUGUUGGAGGAGAGUGCGCCUGCCUCAGCGGAGCAGAGAGCAGCAUGAGCGACAUCAGGAGCACAGAGAAACGCUGAACGAUAUGAACUAAUGUUAGAAGACACAAUGGACAACAUCCACAGCAUCAAGCUCCAGGUUGAUAGAAGCCUCAUUAUCAACCUAAAAGUCUGGCUCGCUUAAAUGCACCCAAAGAAGACACUCGGAAACCUUUGACAGAGC